GAGUUUGGCCGUACUCAAGAUGCAUAAUAAAAUGUGUUAUCCACCCAAAUGUACAUUUCCACGUGGCUAAUGAGGUAACUUUCAUGUAGUUAUUUACUAUAAUUUUUAAAUGCCAAUUUCUGUUUUUCAGCGGCCCUUGUGUGGUGCCCACAGUCCUAAGUGAAUAUGGGGAUCCUGAAGGCACUGAGAUCCUUACUGAACCCUAGGAGGAACUGCUGUGGAAGACCCCUGAGAGACUUACCUGUGGAUGCUGGAAGGAGGGAGAGAGCAAGGGAGCCAGAAAACAGAGUACAUGUGGCUCCCCAAGAGCCAAGAGCAGGAGUUAAAGGCACAGAACUAAACCUAUGAAAAUAACUGACAGAAAAGAAUGGAUGGGGGCACCCAGGAGGCAGUGACGAGACAGUGGGGAGAGAGCCUCUGAACACCACUGGAUUCUGCAGGUGACAAUUUGCUCAGAGGGUGACCAGCUGCAAGUAGCUGAGAAUCAUUAAGUGGCAGGAGGCACAGAGGAGAGCUGCUGUGACACCUGCUCUUGCAAUACAGCCCUGAGACGCCUGGACCCUGCUGUGUAUACAGGCUGGCCUUCGGGUGAUCUUCCUGCCUUGGCUUGCCAAGCGCUGGGGUUACAGGUGUGUGAUCCCACAUUCAAGACUCUGCUCCAGACUCUAAGUGAAGCAGAACCACACCAAGCACUCCCUAGAUGACCUGGGCCCAUGCUGUGCGGAAACCCUGAAGCCCAAGGAGAGGAUCCCUGCCUGUCGCCCCCCCCCCAAUUUAUUUCCUAAAUUCAUGUCACUGCCAACUUCUAAUGGACUUCUCCUAAAGUUCCAUCAGAAAUGCCUAAGCCCAUGGACAGCUUAUCUCAGUUGGCAAA
rnacentral:lncRNA from 1 species